UGCACCAGUGAUGGUACAAGGAGUAAAAUCAGAACCUUUUUAAUCCCUGUGUGAGUUUAUUAAAGUCUGACAGUUAAUGAGGUGAGUAAUCUUAGAGUAGCAUAAUGUGAUUCCAUAUGAGCUCUAAGAGGUAAAGGGAGGGAAAAGAGAGACUGGACUCCAGAAUCACACUUCAUCAUACUGACUACGUACAAUAGGCUAGUUAUGACCUAGUCUGGUGCUCAAAUUCUUCAAUAUUUGGGUUUUUCCACAUGGAUGUGGGCACUUUUGACAUUUCUUAUCAGAAAUCAACAAAUAUAAUGGUAAGUUUAAAAUGCAGGUUUUCUUAUAGUCAGUUUAGGUAGAGCUGGAAGAUGGCAGUUAUUUGACUUGUCUGCAAAGACCAAUGGUUUUGUAAUGAACAAUUAAUUCCUGUGCUUCUUACACUGUUUUUCAAAAAACUUGGAUCUGCCCCUAUCCGCAAAAGAAACAGAACAAAAGAAACACCUUCUCACACCUACCAACAAAACAAACCCUAGAAGCUGUUCCUUGGCUAGAGCCAGAGUGCAUUCUGCAAUUAAAAUGAUCACAUUGUCAAUAUAUGACAAAUCUAUCAGUGUGUUAUAAAGUACCAGCUAUAAACACAUAUUUUUCUUUUGUUUCUUUGUCUAGCUAGGUCAUACUAUUUGAAAUGGUUAGCAGAGCUCUUACUAUACUAAUGGCAAACAGACAUGUAAAUCUGACCGAUCAUAUUUCUAUUGGUAAAAAACUCUAGACUCCAGAUAUUUAUCCUUUAUCCUGGGAGUGCUUAUAUUUUUGGAAUUUCACUAAACAGAAUGUGGUACGGUUUACAUUGAAAUUAGUUUUAGGUAAUUGCUAAUGUCACAUGUUUUACUGCAUGAAAUGAAGUGAUUUUAAAGGUACAUGAAUUGUGUCAUUCUUUUUAACAGAAGAUAAUCUCUUGAAUUUGUUUCCUAACUUGCAUUAGUAAGUUGCAAUUUUUUUUUUCAACUCUGAGACUGAUAUAGGCUGAGACAGUGGAGAAGCUGGGUAAUAUUUUAUAACAAUUGCUGUGAUUCCAUAAUCUGAAAUCUGACAGAGCUGGUGAAAAAGGAGUGAGGUACAGCAUCUUAUGUGGGCUGAAGCAGCAUUAAAGAAUGGAAGACCAGCGACCCAGUGAGGCAAAACCAAGUGUUGCACCGGGUACAUAGAAGAAAUUCUUGCCGCUUACAAAAGAUUUCUGAAAGGGCACUUAUUUUUAUUGAUCUGGAUUCAGAGGCAACGACUAAGCAUCUACUAAGGG
rnacentral:lncRNA from 1 species